rnacentral:tRNA from 1 species
GCGCCAGUGGCGGAAUUGGUAGACGCGCUGGAUUUAGGUUCCAGUGUCGCAAGACGUGAGUGUUCAAGUCACUCCUGGCGCACCA